rnacentral:rRNA from 1 species
GACGAACGCUGGCGGCGUGCUUAACACAUGCAAGUCGAACGGAAAGGCCCUGCUCUUGUGGGGUGCUCGAGUGGCGAACGGGUGAGUAACACGUGUGUAACCUGCACUUGACUUUGGGAUAACUUCAGGAAACUGGGGCUAUUACCGGAUAGGAUCUCCUGCAGCAUGGUGGGGGUUGGAAAGUUUCGGCGGUUGUGGCUGGACUCGAGGCUUAUCAGCUUGUUAGUGGGGUAGUGGCGUACAAAGGCUUAGACGGGUAGCCGGCCUGAGAGGGUGACCACCCACCUUGCGCCUACGAUACGGCCCAGACUGCUACGGGACGCAGCAGGGGGGAGUAUUGCGCAAUGGGGGGACGCCUGAUGCGGCGGCCCCGCGUGCGUGAUGCCUGCUUUCGGGUUGAAAACCGCUGUCGCCUGUGACGAGGCGAGCGUGACGGUAAUGAGUAAAGAAGCACCGGCUAACUACGUG